UUAAUCAAUCCCGUGCGGCUGGGUACCGAGCAGUCGCCUCCUUUUUUCUCGUUCCUCCCCAACUCCCCCACGCGCAACCCCUGCCGCCGCUUCUUCUUCCUCGCCCAGCGCCGUCGCCCCGAUGCAGCCGCUCCAUCCUCCACCAGCAGCCCCGCCCCGCCGCUGAUCGUCGCCUACAGCGCCACCAUCCUCAGUUUCAGCCGGCCGCAUGGACCGUCGCCGGGAGAAAUUCGCCGGGGCACCACCGGCUCCGCCUCUGUUCGCCGGGGCACCACCGGCUCCGCCUCUAUUCGCCGCUACACCACCGGCUCCUCCUAUGUUCGCAGCCGCCAACAGCUCCUCCGGCCAGUCAGCACCUGGUCUUUGGUGGAUUUGUAGUGCAGUCAAAUUGGACAAAUUGCUGCUAGUGCUGGAUUUGAAUGCAAUGAGCUACCGCCUACUAGUGCUGGAUUUGAUUAGUCUUAAGGUGGGUAUUCUGGUUAAAGUUUUGGGGACAAAUUGCUGCUUGUGUUGCUGUCAAAUAUGCUCAUCACUCUGCUAUUGCCUACUGAGUGCGCGAAAAUAUUAUUGGUUGUUAUGAUCUGAUACAUCGUAAGAAGGAUAUCAUCACUUUAUCAAUCAGAAGGUACUUAUGUAUUCAUGUUGCUAUGGUC